rnacentral:lncRNA from 1 species
GGGAAUCUUUUGGGAUUGCAAAUCCCUACAGAGGAAAAGCAGGAGCUCCUUAGGGUCAGGAAUCCUCAUCCAAGGAAAUCAGGAACUUUUUGGGAUUGGGAAUCUCUAUCCAAGGAAAUCAGGAAUUAUUUGGGAUUUGGGAAUCCCUAUCCAAUGAAAUCAGGAGCUCCUCAGGGUCAGAAAUUCCUGUCCAGGGAAAUCAGGAAAUUUUUGGGAUUGGGAAUCCCUACAGAGAAAAAGCAGGAGCUCCUUAGGGUCAGGAAUCCUCAUCCAAGGAAAUCAGGAUAUUUUUGGGAUUGGGAAUCCCUGUCCAGGGAAAUCAGGAGCGUCCCAGGUUUCCCAACCCCCAUCCCUGGCACACGGGACCCUUUUGGGGUCGCCAAUCCCAAACCAGGAUCAUCCCAAAGGCUCCAAUCCCUUUUCCCGGGCGGGUGGGACCUGCUGGGCUGGGGAAUCCCGGGAAAGCGGCAGCUCCAGCCCCAUUCCCGCUGCUCAUCCAUGAAAAUCCCCCCGGAUCAGCGGGAUCGGGGCCGCCCGAGCGUGAACGGGGCUGAGCUCAUGGAAUUCCCGGCAUUCCCGACGUUCCCAGCCCCCCAUGGAAACCCCACAAACCCCGGUUGGGAUGGGCAGGCCGGGAUCCAUCGAUGCCACGUUUUCCCCGACUCUUUUUCCCGGUUUUCCUUGGAUUUCUCCCCCAAAUCCCUCCUUUCCCCACCACCACCCCCCAACGCUGGACAUUUCCGACGAGGUGAAUCCCAAAUAAACUUUUUUUUGGAAGGGAGUGGGGCCGGGGUUUUCCUUGGAAAAAUGAGUGAGUGGGUUUGGCUGCCCCGUGAUUCCCAGUGA